UGACUGCGAGACCUACAAGUCGAGCAGGGACGAAAGUCGGGCUUAGUGAUCCGGUGGUUCCGCAUGGAAGGGCCAUCGCUCAACGGAUAAAAGCUACCCCGGGGAUAACAGGCUUAUCUCCCCCAAGAGUCCACAUCGACGGGGAGGUUUGGCACCUCGAUGUCGGCUCAUCGCAUCCUGGGGCUGUAGUCGGUCCCAAGGGUUGGGCUGUUCGCCCAUUAAAGCGGUACGCGAGCUGGGUUUAGAACGUCGUGAGACAGUUCGGUCCCUAUCCGUCGUGGGCGUAGGAAAUUUGAGAGGAGCUGUCCUU
rnacentral:rRNA from 1 species